AAGACAUUAGUAAAAUACAAAUUACACCACCUUGUCAAGGUGGAAUUGCAGGUUAAAUCCCUGCAUGUCUUA
rnacentral:tRNA from 1 species